UGAGGUCGGAAGUUCAAGUCUUCCCAGGCCCACCACUUUCAUCGAGUGAGCAUUCGUCUUCUGGUUACGGGGCCAUAGCUCAGCUGGGAGAGCGCGUGCUUUGCAAGCAUGAGGUCGUCGGUUCGAUCCCGUCUGGCUCCACCAGAUGGUUUGAUCACCGAGAUCUUGACCGUCGUCCGCGAAACAUCACUUCGCAUCCUGCUAGUCUGGAUAGACAGCAGUUUGCGUGUUUUCUGACAUCGUAAAGAGGAGAUCGAUCCGAGUUGGGUCGUGCAGCAUAUCGUUGCGCGAGCCUUCAUUAUCUCCGGAUCAUUUCGGCGCUCGCUUCCAGCCGUGAGGUUGGAUGCGGGUUGUAAAUGAUCCUUUUAGCGAAGCUUGACCGCCUCGCUAUCGGAACGAUCUUACGAAGCAAGCUGGUCUUUCUAGUCAAUGUCCGGCUGCGGAUAGCGUUCAUCGAGGGCGCGUGCCGCAAGGCAAUUCUGCAGACAACAUUCUGCCGAGUGUGUGGACAUUGAUAAUGAGAGCAAUCAAGUGCCUUAAGGGUGUUCGGUGGAUGCCUUGGCGCUGAGAGGCGAUGAAGGACGUGCUACGCUGCGAUAAGCCCGUGGGGA
rnacentral:rRNA from 1 species